AUUGAACGCUGGCGGCAUGCCUUACACAUGCAAGUCGAACGGUAACGGGCCUUCGGGUGCCGACGAGUGGCGAACGGGUGAGUAAUGUAUCGGAACGUACCUUUCAGUGGGGGAUAACGUAGCGAAAGUUACGCUAAUACCGCAUAUUCUGUGAGCAGGAAAGCAGGGGAUCGCAAGACCUUGCGCUGAUUGAGCGGCCGAUAUCAGAUUAGCUAGUUGGUGAGGUAAAGGCUCACCAAGGCGACGAUCUGUAGCGGGUCUGAGAGGAUGAUCCGCCACACUGGAACUGAGACACGGUCCAGACUCCUACGGGAGGCAGCAGUGGGGAAUUUUGGACAAUGGGGGCGAACCCUGAUCCAGCCAUGCCGCGUGAGUGAAGAAGGCCUCGGUUGUAAG
rnacentral:rRNA from 1 species